UAUCGUUAGGUUUUCAAAUCAAAAAUACUUAAUAAAACACAAAAAUGACUAAAUAAAAGGACGUCGAUGAAGAGGAAGACCAAGGCGGAACUAGUAAAAGUGGAAGUUGUGUUGUAUCAGAACGACGGAACUCGCUGUGAAUGCAUAUUAAAAGUCCUCAACCAACAAGACUCCUAUCUUCUUCUUCGUCGUUCCCUCACUGCUGAGGAUCGCGACCACAGGUUAUGGUUUUCCACUCGGUACGGCUAUAUGCAGCGUGCACCGCCCUCUGUAUGCUGCCGCCCACCGUCUUCUUCACGAUGUCAGACCACCUCGUAGGCGCCCUUCCUCGCGCACGUUUGCCAUCCAUUUGCCCAACGAUGAUCUGCUUAUCCAGACUGUGCUUCGGAGACCGCAUAAUAUGUCCGAAGAAGCUUAGGGCACGAUUCCGGCAUAUUGAGGAGAGCCGCGUCGUGAUCUUGAGUUCUUUUAAUAUGGACUCAUUCGUACACGUAAAUAGCCUUAAAUUACCAAGUAGAGAAAGUCCAGCAUGAGGUGAGCACGAAGUUUUGAAGACAGGAGUGAUUGUAUUAGAUUUCCUCCUGAGCAGUUGCACUACAAAUUUAGUGAUGAAGAGGCAAUACUUGACAGAAACCUUAAGUGGGAUGACAUAAUUAUAAAGAAAAUCAAUAAGAGGAUGAACUAUUUUAAUGUUUAUAAAACAAUAGUAUGGAAGAAUUUUGAUGCAUCUUGGAGCAAUGGCAACAUAUUUGGGAGUUGUGAGUGACAACGAGCAGAUUACAUAACAAUGGGAGGAGAACAAGGGCCUUAACUGAAAAAACUGGUGAAUGUUCCCAAAUAAACCUCACAGAUGUAGAAGAAAGACAAAAUAAAUUUGUUUAUUUUAUUUCUGUUCCCUACUAAACUAGUAAUAAAACAUACUUGUUACAAAUACUUUUUGAUUGUAUUUUAUUUAUAACAUCAAAACUUGCACA